UUUUGCCUUCAUAUCCACGCUCCCGAUAGUCGCUCGCCCCGCCGCUGCCUGUGCCUUCACGCGUCGCCGCCGCCCCUUCACGGCCUCGCUCGCCUUCACGCCUCGCCGCCGCCCCUUCACGCCGGCGGCCAAGCAGCAGCAGCACGCCCCCGAUGGCCGAGCUACAACAGCACCACACCGAGCGACAGCAGCAGUAGCACGCCCCCGACUGCCCACUCUGACGCCUCCCCCUUCACGCCGCUCGGCCCGCCCUACCGCACUGGUCGCUCGGCCCAGAACCAAUCCCCUCCACAUCUGUGCCUCCACUCUCCUCCAUCGACAGGUCCGCUAACCGCUCCUCCCAUCCUCCCAGGCUUUCCUCGACGCCGCCCCACAGCCGCGCUCCCACACCGUCCGCUGCAACACCAUGCCGUGCACCGGCGCCGCCGUUCCGCCUGCAACACCUUGCCGUGCCUCACACUGGAGCCACCGUCCCGCCCACAACUCCUCACCUUGUGGCGGCGCCGCGCAUGCCCUGCACCGGCGCCUCUCCGUCGUCCGACCGUCUCACGAGGCCAUGCGACUCGCGUGCUCGAGGGAGGCGAGGCGAAGUGGUCAUGGGUCUUUGAAGCCACUACGUGUUUACAGUUUCAGUCAUUGCACAUGGUACUAUUCAUUCACCCUGCACGAGAGCAGCCGAGCCUCAACAAACCCUAGGCAAGAAAAGACUUCCACCGAAAGGCAUGAACAGUUCUUUCUAAACAUCCCUAUCAUUUCCUUUGUAUCUUCAGAAUCCAUCUUAAUCAAUUUUACAGAGAGCAAUUCAUCUUUGGCUCACCACUGAAGAAAUUUGUAGCACCUGAUUUGUGUAGCAUGAUUUAUUUUUCAGCGACUUUCAAGUGAGAUCCCUGUCCAUCUUUCAGACAUCUACUAGAAUCAAAUUCAGAAAAUCCCUUCUUAAGAAUAGAAGAUUUGUCUUCACGUUUAGUUUGGGUUCUUCACCAGGACAAACUAGCAAAUAUAACCAUCUAUUUUUACUGCUUUAUAAUUGUCGUGAUGCGUGGAGUAAGUACUAACAGACUUCUGCAUGUCUAUAUUUGACAUGGAUUAUAUAUAUACACAAUGUGACUAUACAUGAUUUAGCUAAGAUAUUUUUCAUACCAGAUACUGAAGGUUAAAAGUACCCUUCUUCCAAACUAAUUAAUUGUAGAGUGCUUUUUAUAUGCAACUACCAAUUGUUAUUUUCCUCCUUUGCCUUUACCCAAUGACACCAUGCAUUCUUCAUAGGAUGAGGCCAUGGGCAUUGUCAAAAUCCCAAGUAGGCCAUGCUUGACGCCAUGUUCAAUGAGCUGGACCUUCCACAACCACUGUCCACUUUUACCCAUCAGUAUCCUGACUGAUGAACAAUGGAAAAGUAUAUGUCUAGCAACGCUUUAAAACAUGUACGCACGGAUGAGAACCAAGAUUUAGCUGAAGCACUAAAGUAGAAAAUACUCCCUCCGUUCCGAAUUACUUGUCGCAGGUAUGAAUGUAUCUAGAUGUAUUUUAGUUCUAGAUACAUCCAUUUCUGCGACAAGUAAUUUGGAACGGAGGGAGUACAAGGCAGAAGUGAAGGGUGUAUGGGGUGAGAAAGAGAAGGGAAAAAGAAAGCAUUCUCAGUUUAGAAAAAAGAGGUCAUGACAUGUUUUUAAUGGUCCAAAAACAUACAGUAUAGAUGAUACUAUGGUUUAUAUCACUGCAAUAUUUGUUGAUGCCAAACACCCUAAAAUAUUUAAUACUAUACUAUACAUGUACAUUGCUCUUAAGUCAUAUAUAGGUUAAUACUGAAAUCUUUAUUUUAUUUUUAAGAAACUAAUUGGUGAUGCUUUGUACAUAAUAGUCAGGACCUGGUUCACAUGACUAUGCUCCGUGCCUAAAUGAUCUUCACCACUCUCUCUGUGCCCUUCUAUGUAUUGUUUAUCAUUUGUACUUUUAUAUCUACAAAUGAGUAAGAAACAAAUGGAUGUGCCUCUGUUUGAAUCAAGAGAAUGUUCCCUGUUUAAGGACCUAACAAACACAAUUAUGGAUUGUAGUACAAAUAUGACACAUAAUCCAAUGGACGAUCCUAAAAGGAAAAGUGUUCAGUCAUGAUAUGCAGGAAUAUUGGAUUAGAAUAAAGCAGAAUACAAUGUGAAGCAUCAUAUAUCUUGAUCACAAAAGAGAGUUACAGCUCUCGACUGUCUUAACCAGGGCCAAUUAUCACAAACAUGUGUUUCUCUAUUAGACUGUGCUAUGGUUAAUCUCUGUACAACAAUUCUCAUAUCUAACAUCAUGUGUUUCUAACUGCAGCUUUUGGUCAGGCCCCACUUGUUUCUAGCUAUCCGAGGUUCCAAUUAAAUGCAAGAGCAUCUGCAAUGCUUAUUUGUCGCAUUCAUUCAGUAUCUAUUAACUCUUCUUUCCGAUGACAACAAUGUAGCAUAAACUCGCCGAAAAUGAGCCACUCCCUCCUGAUGCCCCCUCAUGGUGCCAGAGAAACUCUCAGGUCAGAAAAAACUCUAAUAAUUGCUGAAGCAUUUAUCUUUUCAAGCUAUAACAAGAGUUUGGCAACAAGGCUGCCUUGCAAUAAUAACCUCAUCUGUAUUAUUUUCUGGAGAUGUUAUAUUGCCUGACCAUGAAUUUGGCUUGAAAUGCUCCUAAUGAGGCUUCAAAGUUCUGGGAAGUGUGGUAAGACCCACUCUCACAUUUAGGUUUAUUCGCCAUUAAACUUCUGUAAAGGGGGUUACCAAACCACCUUACACACCGUACCACAAAAUUGUGUUUCCACUGACAGUUGAAAUGCAUUUUUCUUAGAUUUUAACCUUUGGCCAGAGGAACUUUAUAAAACAUGGCAUGCUGAUGAAAAUGUCUUCUUAGAAAAUGAAUUUAUACUUAGAAGUUGUGUCCUAAUUUGCUCUAGCUGUAGAAUUAUUGAAGACGGGUUAAGAGUAGUGUCUUUUUAAUUAACAUGAAUUAUAUAGCAGGAUGGCUAUGAACUGAAAUUAUGCCCUCUUGUUCACUAAUUAUCUAUGGACCGAAUAUACUCUCCUGUAAUACAUUGGUCUUUCAUAUGUUGGUUGUGCACACAUGACAUUAACUUCUCCUUUGUUACUAUAUUUCAUCAGUUUACUGGAAAUCGAAAUAUCACUUGAAACUUCUAUGCUUGUGGCACCUUUGAUCUUUAGUUCAUUGGUCUUUUAUAUCCUGGUGAUGGAGGCGAAUCCUCUUGAGCUGAAAGUCAUAAAUUAUCCUUUUGAGUUGUUGCUUUCUGCAAGGUAUUUUUGUCUCCACGAAUGAUCUAAUCAUGUCUCUGCAAUUUUACCUCGAUGCACUCAUUCAACUAGAAGAAAGUUUCACUAAUUGCAAUUCAUUCAUUCUCCAUGAGAGGAGUGACAAAGUGUACUAGCAAUAUGUAUUAUCGCAUUGAAGUGGCAUUGUGCAGCUUAUUAACAUAAUUUUCGUUCUUGUCUGCAUAUAGUCUUUAUUUUGUUUGCCUUGCUACUCUGAAUUGGAGUGAUGUUUGUUUAUUAGUUUCUAUGCAAACAAAUGGAUGAUAGUACAUCAAGUUUCUUAAUAUUUGUACCACGACUAAUAUUUGAACUUCUACUUUACCCAAAACCCUCAGAGGUGCAGCAUGUGAGACUUGAAAAAUGGUUUGGGAUUUCAGAGUUCAUCUAUGCAGUGGUGUGGGUUGGCGGUGUCUGUUGUCUGCGGUGGUCAGAGCGAUCUGUUGUGUGUGGGCUGCGGUGAGCUGCGACAAGUUGGCUGCGGCGAGGUCUGGUUGCUGCCGAUGAUGGCGCUGGCGUGCCGCAAGCCAGAGCCGGGGCAUGGCAGCGUGAUGGUGUUGUGGUUGCGGCGGCAUGGUUUGCGGGUGGCAGAGGAUGCAUUGGUUGGCAGCAGUCAAUAUACGAUGCGGAGGUUCGGGGUGGUGUCCUUUUUGGCACCGAUGAUGGUGGUUUGCGGUGAAGUCAGAGCCGCUGGCUUGCGGAGGAGUGAUGACGAUGACACUUGUAGUCCGCCUCGACGGCGCUCCUCUUUCGACGGCAUGUGUGUGUGUCUUGUGUGGAUAACCAGGUUGGCUGGUGGUGCCCCUUUGUGGGUUGUAUUGGUUUCUAGUAAUUAACCGGGCAAUUCUCUUCUUUAUUAAUGAGAUGAGGCAAAGCUAUUGCCUUAGUUAAAAAAAUUA